AGAAAAAAAAAAUCCUCAACUAAGAUCAGACAACAAUUAAAAAAAUACAUCAAACACACACUACAAAGACUAAAUAUAUAACUGGAAACAUCAUCUGUACCAUAAAAGAAUACAACAUAACAUAUUUAACAAACUGCUGGUAGAUUGUUGUGUCACAACCCAUGCAAGAAGAAUCAUCUUGAAGGGUUCAAAAGUUGGGAGUAAUUAUUAAUAACACCCAUUUGAAGAGGGACCCCUCCAUCAAUUCUUAGGUCAUGAUUAUCGAUUAAUUAAGGAUACAGUAUAAACCAUUAGAUAGAUAUAAUUGUCAAAAAAAAGGAAAAUAAAAGCCUUUAAGAAAUCACACACUUCCCAAUUCAACAAUUACAGUAAACUCAUCUCCCAAAACAAGACUUUAAUAUGAAGACCACAAACAAUAGUUUUU
rnacentral:misc_RNA from 1 species